rnacentral:rRNA from 1 species
AUUGAACGCUGGCGGCAGGCCUAACACAUGCAAGUCGAGCGGAUGAAGGGAGCUUGCUCCUGGAUUCAGCGGCGGACGGGUGAGUAAUGCCUAGGAAUCUGCCUGGUAGUGGGGGAUAACGUCCGGAAACGGGCGCUAAUACCGCAUACGUCCUGAGGGAGAAAGUGGGGGAUCUUCGGACCUCACGCUAUCAGAUGAGCCUAGGUCGGAUUAGCUAGUUGGUGGGGUAAAGGCCUACCAAGGCGACGAUCCGUAACUGGUCUGAGAGGAUGAUCAGUCACACUGGAACUGAGACACGGUCCAGACGCCUACGGGAGGCAGCAGUGGGGAAUAUUGGACAAUGGGCGAAAGCCUGAUCCAGCCAGGCCGCGUGUGUGAAGAAGGUCUUCGGAUUGUAAAGCACGUUAAGGUGGGAGGAAGGGCAGUAAGUUAAUAACUUGCUGUUUUGACGUUACCAACAGAAUAAGCACCGGCUAACUUCGUG